AUGAAAAUUGACAUGAUGAAAGCGUAUGAUCGGGUUGAAUGGAGCUAUCUGCAUGGAUGCUUAUGCAAGCUGGGUUUCACCCCAACGUGGAUUGAUUCUGUGAUGAGGUGUGUGACGAAUGUUCGUUAUGCGGUCAGAGUUAAUGGGGAGCUUAAUGAUCCGGUGGUACCCUCCAAGGGCAUCCGCCAAGGAGAUCCAAUCAGUCCCUACCUAUUCCUCUUAUGCACUGAAGGUUUGUCUAAUCUGCUGGUUCAGAAGGAGAGUUGUGGUGAGCUACAUGGGAUCCUAAAUGGCCGUCAAGGUCCACCUGUUGGGGAACGUAGUAAUUUCAAAAAAAUUCCUACGAACACGCAAGAUCAUGGUGAUGCAUAG
rnacentral:rRNA from 1 species